UGAUACAGAGGUGGCGAGCGUUGUCCGGAUUUACUGGGUGUAAAGGGUGCGUAGGCGGAUUUGUAAGUCGGGGGUUAAAGACUCUUGCUCAACAAGAGGAGUGCCUUCGAUACUGCAUAUCUAGAGUGCCGAAGAGGAAAACUGGAAUUUCCGGUGUAGCGGUGGAAUGUGCAGAGAUCGGAAAAGAACACCAGUGGCGAAGGCAGGUUUCUGGUCGGUAACUGACGCUGAUGCACGAAAGCGUGGGGAGCAAACAGGAUUAGAUACCCUGGUAGUCCACGCCCUAAACGAUGCCGGCUCGGCGUGUGGCGCGCGCGAGCGCGCUGGGCGCCUUAGCUCACGCGGUAAGCCGGCCGCCUGGGGACUACGAGCGCNAAGCUU
rnacentral:rRNA from 1 species